GACCCAUGAGAAGACCUAAUAGACAUCAGAGAACUUAGAGGAGAUAAAAGAAAUCCUCUUCUCUCUCACGGAGAGUAAUGGCGCACCCCUCCCUUCUUCUUUUUUUCUUCAUUUUCUCAAAACCUAACACAGAACCCUCCCCCUUCAGCUAAAAAACAGAGCAGCAGCGCAGCUUUUUCCCUUCUUUUUCACUCCCUCAGAUCGAUGAACUUCCCCUUCUCUCACGAGCCUUCUUCCUCGAUUCUCAUCGGAAAACACACUCACUAUGAUACUCACACAAAGAUGAAGGCUCACCCACUCAUGAUUUGAAAAAAAUGGCUGAAACAAAGCCGAAAAAAUACAGAAAUGAAGCUCUAAAAAAUCAUUGAAAAGAAGAAGAGGAAAAUCGAUCAAAAAACGAAAUUAGAAAGCUCUUGUUCUCUGUCAAACAUCAGUUCAUAUACAUGUCAGUUUUUGGAUUUUUGAGGUAAUCGAGCUGCGAGAAAUCACAAAGUUCAAAAGUUUAAGAUAAAGAAAAAUCUGGAUUUUUGCCGCGUGCUUGUUGAGACUGCGGCUGUUGCUUCUUCAUUGUUUUUGUGCUCUUCGUUAACUUGACGUAAGUUUCUUUUCCUUCUCUUUUGGAUGUGAUAUGUUUCAGCUUUACCUUAAGAGAUUUUAGUUUGAAUAUUGGCGUUUGAAAGAAUCCAUUUUUUUAGGAAUUAUAUAUGAGCUUGACUUCAGUUGUUUUGAAUGAAUGUUAUAAAGAAACAAGAUACUUCUUUGUGGUAUUAGCUUAUUUAGAAUCAGUACUUUGUUUUCUAUUUAUAUGCUAUAAUGGUUAGAAAGGUUUUACUAAAUACUAAUGAGUUUAGGGGUUGAUUGAAGAGUAUCAAUCUUGUGGAUUUGUACUCUGAGUCUGAUUCUUUGUACUAGAACUAUUGAUACAAGUGAAUGAAAACAGAGUCUUUGCUAUUGCUCUAAUUCAAAUGAGAAUUCAUGGUCACUUCAGUAUUGUACCCAGAUCUUUUACGUAACUUCUGCUCUUACAGUACAUGAUACCAAUAAAUGAGACUUAUGUUGACAUUACUAGUGAUAAUUUAUGUAACGAUCCGCCCGGUCGUUUUAAGAAUUAACACCCCGAUCCCCUAUUAACUGCUUUUCCCGUGUUUAUUUCUGCUAUUUUGAUUUGCCGGGAUGCUUGACUUUGAGUUUUGGAGAGUUUUGGGACACUUAGUCCCUAAAUGAGAGUUUAAGUUUUAGAAAUUGGAUCGUAGUCGGAGCAGUAUGAAGACGACCUCGGAAUGGAAUUUCGUUGGUUCUGUUAGCUCCGUUGAGUGAUUCCAGGCUUAGGGGCGUGUCCGGGUUAUGUUUUGGAGGUCCGUAGCUAAUUUAGGCUUGAAAUGUCGAAAGUUGAAUUUUUGAAGUUUCCGGUUCGAUAGUGAGAUUUUGAUAUCGGGGUCGUAAUGGAAUUCCAAAAGUUGGAGUAGCUCGUAGUGUUGAAUGUGACAUGUGUGCAAAAUUUCAGGUCAUUCAGACGAGGUUUGAUAGACCUUUUGAUCGAAAGCAUAAUUUAAGAGUUUUUGGAAUUCUUAGGCUUGAAUCUGAUGUAAAAUUAGUGUUUUGAUGUUGUUUUGAGCAUUCUGAAGAUUGGAACAAGUUUAAAUGAUGUUUUAGGAUUGGUUGGAAUGUUUGGUUGAGGUCCCGGGGACCUUGGGUGUAUUUCGGAUGCUCAACGGGUCAUUUUGGAACUUGUUGGAAUUGCUGAAAUGCUGGUAUGUGGUUUCCUUAAUCGCGUACACGUCUUUCCCUCCGCGUUCGCAUAGUGUAAUUUCGGAGGAUGAUUUAAUUGUUCUUCGCGUUCGCAUGUUUUGGCUUGCGAUCGCAGUAGUCUGCCCCCUCCUCCUUCGCGUUCGCAUCCCUCUGUUCGCGUUCGCGUAGUAGAACUAGGAGUGGGGUGGUACUGUGACCAUUUACUCUACGUGUUCGCAUUGUCCUUUCCGAGAACGCGUAAGCCUGCCUUUCCCUUUUCCGCGUUCGCUGGCUUUAUCAUGCAUUCGCAUAGCCCAGUUCAGGAGCCAUCAGAUUUUCCUCUUCGCGAUCGCACCUCAUUUUAUGUGAUCGCGAUAUACAAAUACUUGGGCAGUAUUUAAAUAGCCAAUCCGCGACCCUUCUUCAUUUUUCUACCAUUUUUAAACGGGAUUGAAGCUUUUGAGGGAGAUUUUUGAGGAAACCAAAGGGGAAUCACUUGGAGGUAAUAUUCUUGACUUCAUAACUCGUUUAUAUGUGAUUAAAAGUCUAAUUAGUGGUGAAAAUUUAGGAAAAGAUUAGUGCAAAAUGGGUAAUUAGGGCUUAAGAUUAAGAGACCUUAAAAUGGGUAUUUGAGGGGUCAAUUGAACUCCGAUUUCAGUGUUUUUGAUAUGUAUAAACUCGUGAGAGUACGAGGAUUCCGAAAAUGUAAAUUUUACCCGAUUUCGAGUCGUGGACCUGUGGGCGUUUUUGUCAUUUUACCUAAUUUUGCGUAUUAGCUUAGAAUUUAUUUGUAGAAUCAGUUACUUGAGCCGGUUCGAGGUAAGUGGCUUGUCUAACCUUGUGUGGGGGAAACUCCUCUUAGGAUUUGGUAUUAUUGAUAAUUGAAAUGCCUUGUACGUGAGGUGACGAGUGCGUACUUAUGCUAAUUGUUGAAAAUCCGGUUUUCAUUAAAGUAAUUACUUGUAUGUUUCUCUUCCUGUUUAUACUACUUGCAAUUUAAGCUUGUUGUUAGCUUAGGAAAGCAUGUCUAAUUGACUUAAUUGCCUUAUUUGUAUUACGUGCAACAUGCUCGGUUAGAAAUACCUAUUUUACCUUAGUAUGGAACUUGAAUUGAACUGUGUACUCUUCUUAUUGUUGCUGUGUAUUUACUUUGAGACUACGGGAUAGUAUCCCGGGUGAUUCCCAUGUAUGUUUAUUUUGGGACUACAGAACGGUAUUCCGGGAGAUCCCCCUGCACAUUUACAUUGGAACUACGGGACUGCACUCGGUAGAUUUUCCCUGUACUGAGUAUUUACAUUUGGGACUAUGGAUCAGUAUUCCGGGAGAUUCCCUUGCAUUAUGAGUUGGAUCACGGGAUGGUAUCCCGGGAGAUCCACUGAAUAUUUAUAUUUGAAACUACAGGACAGUAUCCUGGGAGAUCCCCGAUUGUUAUCUUUGUGCUGAGCUGUAUUUCUUUUUGUGUUUACUUUGCCUAUGUAGUAGUUGUUGUUGUCCUUUAUAUCCUGUGUUACUUUUACUGUUGCACUUACUUAUACUAUUUUGUUUUACACUGUUGAACCUUAUAUUUUAUUUAACCUCAGUAGGGCUCUGACCUUCCUCGUCACUACCCGACCGAGGUUAGGCUUGACACUUGCUAAGUACCGUUGUGGUGUACUCAUGCCUUUUCUGCGCAUGUUUUUCAUGUGCAAAUCCAGGUACUUCCAGUCAGACUUAUCACACUUGAGACGAGGCGCUUGUAGAGACUCCGAGGUAUAUCUUCUCCGUCCGCAGACCGAAGAGUCCCUUUCUACUCUCCUUUUAAGUAUUAGCCCUUCUGUAUUUCUUUUUUUUUUUUGUUAGAUAUUCUGGAGUUAGACACUAUAGACAUUCAAAAGCUUGUGUUUCAUGAGAUUCCGAGUUUUGGAAAAUGUUGUUAGUUUCGAGAGUUGUUAUUGUAUGUGCCGAGCGGCACCUUAAACACUGUUUUAUUUACUAUUUCGGUUUUAAUUAUUUCUUCCGCAAAUUUUUGUUUAUUUUCCGCAUUGUUAGGCUUACUUAGUCAUAGAAACUAGUUGCCGUCACGAUGGUUCACGGAGGGCGAAUCGGGGUUGUGGCAAUUUAUUAUUUGAAGUUCAUAUCAAGCUUUUCCGA
rnacentral:lncRNA from 1 species